GUCUUUUUGAUUUAUAUAUAAAGUCUGACCUGCCCACUGAAAAUUUUAAAUGGCUGCAGUAAUUUGACUGUACAAAGGUAGCAUAAUCAUUAGUUUUUUAAUUAAAAGCUUGUAUGAAAGGUUGGACGAAGUAAAAUCUGUCUCUUUUUAAUAUAAUUAGAAUUUAAUUUUUAAGUAAAAAAGCUUAAAUUUUUAUAAAAGACGAGAAGACCCUAUAGAGUUUAAUAAUUUUAAUAAAAUAUUUAAUUAAGAUUUAUUAAUUUUAUUUAAUUAAAAUUAUUUUAUUGGGGUAAUAAAAAGAUUAAAAAAAUUCUUUUUUUUUAAUACAUUAAUUUAUGAAUAUAUGAUCCAUUUGUAAUGAUUAAAAGAUUAAAUUACCUUAGGGAUAACAGCGUAAUUUUUUUAAAGAGUUCUUAUCGAUAAAAAAGUUUGCGACCUCGAUGUUGGAUUAAAGAUUAAUUUAGGUGUAGAAGUUUAAAUUUUUGGUCUGUUCGACCAUUAAAUCUUUACAUGAUCUGAGUUCAAACCGGUGUAAGCCAGGUUGGUUUCUAUCUUUAUUAAUUUUUUAUAUUUUAGUACGAAAGGACCAAAUAUAAAAUAUAUAAAUAUUUUUAUUUUGAAUAUUAUUAAAUUAGUUAUUUUGGCAGAUUAGUGUAAUGAAUUUAGAAUUCAUUUAUGUAAAUAUUUUACAAAUAAUACUUGUUUAUAAAAGAUAUAAUUAUUUCUUUUAUUUUAAUUAUUUUAUUAAUUAUUUGUGUUUUAGUAGGUGUGGCUUUUUUAACUUUAUUAGAACGAAAGGUUU
rnacentral:rRNA from 1 species